GGGAGUAUAGCUCAGUUGGUUAGAGUGCAUGACUGUUAAUCAUGAUGUCGAAGGUUCAAGUCCUUCUACUCCCGCCA
rnacentral:tRNA from 1 species